GUGAAAUGUUGGGUUAAGUCCCGCAACGAGCGCAACCCUUAUCCUUAUUUGCCAGCACGUAAUGGUGGGAACUUUAGGGAGACUGCCGGUGAUAAACCGGAGGAAGGUGGGGACGACGUCAAGUCAUCAUGGCCCUUACGAGUAGGGCUACACACGUGCUACAAUGGCGAGUACAGAGGGUUGCGAAGCCGCGAGGUGGAGCUAAUCUCAUAAAGCUCGUCGUAGUCCGGAUUGGAGUCUGCAACUCGACUCCAUGAAGUCGGAAUCGCUAGUAAUCGUGGAUCAGAAUGCCACGGUGAAUACGUUCCCGGGCCUUGUACACACCGCCCGUCACACCAUGGGAGUGGGCUGCACCAGAAGUAGAUAGCUUAA
rnacentral:rRNA from 1 species